CGUCGCCGUCGGCGCGGGGGCCGUGGCGCCCGCGGCUGCCGGCGCCGCGGCGGGCGCCUGCUGGGCCCAGGCCGGCAGCGAC
rnacentral:tRNA from 1 species